rnacentral:rRNA from 1 species
CCUACGGGAGGCAGCAGUGAGGAAUAUUGGUCAAUGGACGAGAGUCUGAACCAGCCAAGUAGCGUGAAGGAUGACUGCCCUAUGGGUUGUAAACUUCUUUUAUAUGGGAAUAAAAUGUUCCACGUGUGGGAUUUUGUAUGUACCAUAUGAAUAAGGAUCGGCUAACUCCGUGCCAGCAGCCGCGGUAAUACGGAGGAUCCGAGCGUUAUCCGGAUUUAUUGGGUUUAAAGGGAGCGUAGGUGGAUUGUUAAGUGAGUUGUGAAAGUGUGCGGCUCAACCGUGAAAUUGCAGUUGAAACUGGCAGUCGUGAGUACAGUAGAGGUGGGCGGAAUUCGUGGUGUAGCGGUGAAAUGCUUAGAUAUCACGAAGAACUGCGAUUGCGAAGGCAGCUCACUGGACUGCAACUGACACUGAGGCUCGAAAGUGUGGGUAUCAAACAGGAUUAGAUACCCCAGUAGUC